rnacentral:tRNA from 1 species
GCCGCCGUAGUGUAAUGGCCAGCACAGGGGCCUGUGGAGCCCCUAGACCGGGUUCGAUUCCCGGCGGCGGCCCCA